UUCCGCACACACCUACUAUAUACACACUAAAAUUUAAAUGCAACAACGCUGGCACGCACAGUGAAAAACCACACCAUAUCUUCUGUCCCCCCAUACACUUUGUCAGUCUCUCAUGCCUACACCACCAAUGGCACUUUGGACAACUCGCCUCCCAAAUGCACUUAGUAUUGCCCUUACAGCACAACUCGUAUCAAACACCAACACGGUGCACCAUCAACACGCUUCUCAGCACCCCUCAGCCUUCUAAUAAGCUGCAAAUCCCCAACCACACUUCAACUCCAACCAGACUCUAAGUGUAUAGGUGCGCCUGCCACUUUAAGAACCCAGAGCUACCACCACUCAGGUGCUUGAUGAGCGCAGCCAUUUUGAAUCUCUUUCUUCCUAUAUAAACAGGGCAGUUGGCUGGCGCCACACCUAGGAAGAACCUCUCUUCAGUGAGGGCCUCCCGAUAUCACCUCCAGAGGAGCCACCUUGCCAAGGCUUCAGACACCGAAGACAAGGUGAUGAGCCGCAGAGAUGGCGGUGCACAAAAUGGGCUGCUGUCUUGUGACUUCCCCGGAUGCGUGGUGUGAGGCCUCUGCCCCUGUGACAUCACCUGUGUGGAGCCUGUGGUGGGUUUGAGCUUCCUUGGUGAGCUGUGAGGUCUUUGUCUUCCUGUCUGACCACUUGUUCUAUCAUGUUUCCAGGAGCUGCUGUGUGUGUAUCUAUCUUUGUAGGUCAAACUGUGUCUAUGCGGCUACUGUGACGUGUCACGUUUGGAGUGCCUGUGAGUAUCCAGCUCCGUGAGGCUGCAGACAAGCCUUUGAGAGCUUGUGUAGUGAAUAGGGGCCUGGGAUGUGUGCGGUGGAGGCUGAGAGAGGAGCUUUCCCCGUCUCUGACUUUGUGCCCUUGCAUCCCCUCUUUGGGCUGACUAGCUUUCUGUUCUUUUUCCAGAAGCCUGUAUGUGUCUUGUGGGGGCAGAUGCAUGCAGGGAGUUCUGUGCCAUGCUGAUGGAAGAUUAAGGAAAACAAUGCUCAAAGGGUUUUGGCCUCCUGCGUUGCCCCAGAAGCUUGCUGGUGUAAGCCUGGGUUGGCCUUACGCUGCCUGUGAGUCCUUGUUGUUGUGUAAAGGCUGAAAAUAGCCUUCGAGUAGAUAGGUGGUUUCAGGGUUUGCCCCUGACAUGUGGGUGCAGAUUUUGCCCUUGAGUUUGCGGAGCCAGAGCAGCGGCUGCUUG